rnacentral:rRNA from 1 species
AUUGAACGCUGGCGGCAUGCUUUACACAUGCAAGUCGAACGGUAACAGGCCGCAAGGUGCUGACGAGUGGCGAACGGGUGAGUAAUGCAUCGGAACGUGCCCAGUCGUGGGGGAUAACGCAGCGAUAGCUGCGCUAAUACCGCAUACGAUCUAUGGAUGAAAGCGGGGGACCGUAAGGCCUCGCGCGAUUGGAGCGGCCGAUGUCAGAUUAGGUAGUUGGUGGGGUAAAGGCGCACCAAGCCAACGAUCUGUAGCUGGUCUGAGAGGACGACCAGCCACACUGGUACUGAGACACUGCCCAGACUCCGACGGAGGUCAGCAGUGGGGAAUUUUGGACAAUGGGCGCAAGCCUGAUCCAGCAAUGCCGCGUGCAGGAAGAAGGCCUUCGGGUUGUAAACUGCUUUUGUACGGAACGAAACGGUCCUGGUUAAUACCUGGGGCUAAUGACGGUACCGUAAGAAUAAGCACCGGCUAACUACGUGCCAGCCGCCGCGGUAAAAC